rnacentral:rRNA from 1 species
UACGUAGGUGGCGAGCGUUGUCCGGAAUUACUGGGUGUAAAGGGAGCGUAGGCGGGAGUGCAAGUUGAAUGUUAAAUCUAUCGGCUCAACCGAUAGCCGCGUUCAAAACUGCAUUUCUUGAGUGAAGUAGAGGUUGGCGGAAUUCCUAGUGUAGCGGUGAAAUGCGUAGAUAUUAGGAGGAACACCAGUGGCGAAGGCGGCCAACUGGGCUUUACUGACGCUGAGGCUCGAAAGCGUGGGGAGCAAACAGGAUUAGAUACCCUGGUAGUCCCU